CAGUCUGGAGGUGGCGCAGCCACUUCUGGGUGCUGUAAUGUCAAAGAAGCAGAGAGGCAGGAGGUGCUCUUGUCAGUAAAACGGAGUUUGUUAGCAGAAACGCCUGAACCAAGGAAUGGUUUGAGAGACUGAAAACGCUUUGCAGAUAUUCUUGGGGUGUUAGGAUCUUGUUAGAAAAGAGGGAGAAGACAAGGGUUUCAAGGUCAACUAAAAAGGCUGAUUCCCACCAGGAUUCUCAUGACCUUCAUAAGAGCACCGGCAAGGUGUAACAUGGAUUGGAGAAGAGGAGAUUUUAAGUAUGCCAUAUGUAUGCAGUACCAACAGAGACCAGAAGAGGGCGGCAGACCCCCUGUAACUAGAGUUACUGACAGUUGGGAGCUGUCAUGUGGAUGAUGGAAACUGAACUUGGGUCUUUUGCAAGAGGAGCCGGUGGUCUUAACUGCUGAGCCAUCCUCUUGUUUUCGAGACAAAUUUUCAUGUAUUCCAUGUUGGCUUGAAACUCACUAUGCAGUCAAAAAUGGCUCUCAACUCCUGAUUCUGCGUAUCCACUGUUUAGGGGUGCAGGAAUAUGGGUCCAUUUUCUCUGCCAAUGAAAAUAUUAAAAGACAG
ensembl:lncRNA